GAGGAAUAUUGGGCAGUGCCCGCAAGGGUGACCCAGCAACGCCGCGUGGAGGAUGAAUGUCGUAAGAUUGUAAACUCCUGUUAGAGGGGAAGAAUAGUACCGGUUGGACCGGUAUAUGACUGUACCCUCAGAGAAAGCCCCGGCUAACUACGUGCCAGCAGACGCGGGAAUACGUAGGGGGCAAGCGUUGUCCGGAUUUACUGGGUGAAAAGAGCGCGCAGGCGGGAUAAAAAGUCAGUGGUGAAAUCCUACAGCUUAACUGUAGAACUGCCUUUGAGACUUUUAUUCUUGAGUUAGGUAGAGAGAGACGGAAUUCCAGGUGUAGUGGAGAAAUACGUAGAUAUCUGGAAGAACACCAGUUGCGAAGGCGGUCUCUUGGUCCGACACUGACGCUGUGGCGCGAAAGCGUGGGAGCAAACA
rnacentral:rRNA from 1 species